AACGAACGCUGGCGGCAUUCCUAACACAUGCAAGUCGAACGAGACCUUCGGGUCUAGUGGCGCACGGGUGCGUAACGCGUGGGAACCUGCCCUUAGGUUCGGAAUAACUCCCCGAAAGGGGUGCUAAUACCGGAUAAUGUCUUCGGACCAAAGAUUUAUCGCCUUUGGAUGGGCCCGCGUUGGAUUAGCUAGUUGGUAGGGUAAAAGCCUACCAAGGCGACGAUCCAUAGCUGGUCUGAGAGGAUGAUCAGCCACACUGGGACUGAGACACGGCCCAGACUCCUACGGGAGGCAGCAGUGGGGAAUAUUGGACAAUGGGCGAAAGCCUGAUCCGGCAAUGCCGCGUGAGUGAUGAAGGCCUUAGGGUUGUAAAGCUCUUUUACCCGGGAUGAUAAUGACAGUACCGGGAGAAUAAGCUCCGGCUAACUCCGUG
rnacentral:rRNA from 1 species